CAGCCGCCGCGGUAACACGUAGGUGGCAAGCGUUGUCCGGAAUUAUUGGGCGUAAAGGGCUCGCAGGCGGUUUCUUAAGUCUGAUGUGAAAGCCCCCGGCUCAACCGGGGAGGGUCAUUGGAAACUGGGAAACUUGAGUGCAGAAGAGGAGAGUGGAAUUCCACGUGUAGCGGUGAAAUGCGUAGAGAUGUGGAGGAACACCAGUGGCGAAGGCGACUCUCUGGUCUGUAACUGACGCUGAGGAGCGAAAGCGUGGGGAGCGAACAGGAUUAGAGACCCCUGUAGUCCCUGUCUCUUAUAU
rnacentral:rRNA from 1 species